rnacentral:piRNA from 1 species
UCAGAACUUAAGAGUGAAACACCACUCC